GGAGAAGGGCCAUAGCUCAGUGCUCUAGUGUCUGCCUUGCAUGCAGAAGGUCCCUGGUUUAAUCCCCAGCAUCUCCA